GAUGAACGCUGGCGGCGUGCCUAAUACAUGCAAGUCGAGCGAACGGACGAGAAUCUUGCUUCUCUGAUGUUAGCGGCGGACGGGUGAGUAACACGUGGAUAACCUACCUAUAAGACUGGGAUAACUUCGGGAAACCGUAGCUAAUACCGGAUAAUAUUUUGAACCGCAUGGUUCAAAAGUGAAAGACGGUCUUGCUGUCACUUAUAGAUGGAUCCGCGCUGCAUUAGCUAGUUGGUAAGGUAACGGCUUACCAAGGCAACGAUGCAUAGCCGACCUGAGAGGGUGAUAGGCCACACUGGAACUGAGACACGGUCCAGACUCCUACGGGAGGCAGCAGUAGGGAAUCUUCCGCAAUGGGCGAAAGCCUGACGGAGCAACGCCGCGUGAGUGAUGAAGGUCUUCGGAUCGUAAAACUCUGUUAUUAGGGAAGAACAGAUGUGUAAGUAACUGUGCACAUCUUGACGGUACCUAAUCAGAAAGCCACGGCUAACUACGUG
rnacentral:rRNA from 1 species